ACGAAGGGGGCUAGCGUUGUUCGGAUUUACUGGGCGUAAAGCGCACGUAGGCGGAUCGAUCAGUCAGGGGUGAAAUCCCAGAGCUCAACUCUGGAACUGCCUUUGAUACUGUCGAUCUGGAGUAUGGAAGAGGUGAGUGGAAUUCCGAGUGUAGAGGUGAAAUUCGUAGAUAUUCGGAGGAACACCAGUGGCGAAGGCGGCUCACUGGUCCAUUACUGACGCUGAGGUGCGAAAGCGUGGGGAGCAAACAGGA
rnacentral:rRNA from 1 species